AGCGAACGCUGGCGGCAGGCCUAACACAUGCAAGUCGAACGAACCUUUCGGGGUUAGUGGCGGACGGGUGAGUAACACGUGGGAACGUGCCUUUAGGUUCGGAAUAACUCAGGGAAACCUGUGCUAAUACCGAAUGUGCCCUUCGGGGGAAAGAUUUAUCGCCUUUAGAGCGGCCCGCGUCUGAUUAGCUAGUUGGUUGAGGUAAUGGCUCACCAAGGCGACGAUCAGUAGCUGGUCUGAGAGGAUGAUCAGCCACAUUGGGACUGAGACACGGCCCAAACUCCUACGGGAGGCAGCAGUGGGGAAUCUUGCGCAAUGGGCGAAAGCCUGACGCAGCCAUGCCGCGUGAAUGAUGAAGGUCUUAGGAUUGUAAAAUUCUUUCACCGGGGACGAUAAUGACGGUACCCGGAGAAGAAGCCCCGGCUAACUUCGUG
rnacentral:rRNA from 1 species